rnacentral:rRNA from 1 species
UGCAGUCGAGCGGUAACAGGGGUAGCUUGCUAUCUGCUGACGAGCGGCGGACGGGUGAGUAAUGCAUAUGAAUCUGCCCGGUAGUGGGGGAUAACCUGGGGAAACCCAGGCUAAUACCGCAUACGUCCUACGGGAGAAAGGGGGCUCCGGCUCCCGCUAUUGGAUGAGCCUAUGUCGGAUUAGCUAGUUGGUGAGGUAAUGGCUCACCAAGGCGACGAUCCGUAGCUGGUCUGAGAGGAUGAUCAGCCACAUCGGGACUGAGACACGGCCCGAACUCCUACGGGAGGCAGCAGUGGGGAAUAUUGGACAAUGGGCGAAAGCCUGAUCCAGCCAUGCCGCGUGUGUGAAGAAGGCCCUCGGGUUGUAAAGCACUUUCAGCGAGGAAGAACGCCUAGUGGUUAAUACCCACUAGGAAAGACAUCACUCGCAGAAGAAGCACCGGCUAACUCCGUGCCAGCAGCCGCGGUAAUACGGAGGGUGCAAGCGUUAAUCGGAAUUACUGGGCGUAAAGCGCGCGUAGGUGGCUUGAUAAGCCGGUUGUGAAAGCCCCGGGCUCAACCUGGGAACGGCAUCCGGAACUGUCAAGCUAGAGUGCAGGAGAGGAAGGUAGAAUUCCCGGUGUAGCGGUGAAAUGCGUAGAGAUCGGGAGGAAUACCAGUGGCGAAGGCGGCCUUCUGGACUGACACUGACACUGAGGUGCUGAAAGCGUGAGUAGCAAACAGGAUUACAUACCCUGGUAGUCCACGCCCGUAAACGAUGUCGACCAGCCCGUUGGGUUGCCUAGCGCACUUUG